rnacentral:rRNA from 1 species
CCUACGGGCGGCUGCAGUGAGGAAUAUUGCACAAUGGGGGAAACCCUGAUGCAGCAACGCCGCGUGGAGGAUGACGCAUUUCGGUGUGUAAACUCCUUUUAUGAGUCAAGAAAAUGACGGUAGCUCAUGAAUAAGCACCGGCUAACUCCGUGCCAGCAGCCGCGGUAAUACGGAGGGUGCAAGCGUUACUCGGAAUCACUGGGCGUAAAGGACGCGUAGGCUGUUUAGCAAGUCAGGUGUGAAAUCCUAUGGCUCAACCAUAGAACUGCACUUGAAACUGCUAGACUAGAGUAUGGGAGGGGGAGAUGGAAUUAGUGGUGUAGGGGUAAAAUCCGUAGAUAUCACUAGGAAUAUCUAAAGCGAAGGCGAUCUCCUGGAACAUUACUGACGCUAAGGCGUGAAAGCGUGGGGAGCAAACAGGAUUAGAUACCCCAGUAGUC